rnacentral:rRNA from 1 species
CCUUCGGGUGUGACUGCGUACCUUUUGUAUAAUGGGUCAGCGACUUAUAUUCUGUAGCAAGGUUAACCGUAUAGGGGAGCCGAAGGGAAACCGAGUCUUAACUGGGCGUUAAGUUGCAGGGUAUAGACCCGAAACCCGGUGAUCUAGCCAUGGGCAGGUUGAAGGUUGGGUAACACUAACUGGAGGACCGAACCGACUAAUGUUGAAAAAUUAGCGGAUGACCUGUGGCUGGGGGUGAAAGGCCAAUCAAACCGGGAGAUAGCUGGUUCUCCCCGAAAGCUAUUUAGGUAGCGCCUCGUGAACUCAUCUUCGGGGGUAGAGCACUGUUUCGGCUAGGGGGCCAUCCCGGCUUACCAACCCGAUGCAAACUACGAAUACCGAAGAAUGUUAUCACGGGAGACACACGGCGGGUGCUAACGUCCGUCGUGAAGAGGGAAACAACCCAGACCGCCAGCUAAGGUCCCAAAGUCAUGGUUAAGUGGGAAACGAUGUGGGAAGGCACAGACAGCCAGGAUGUUGGCUUAGAAGCAGCCAUCAUUUAAAGAAAGCGUAAUAGCUCACUGGUCGAGUCGGCCUGCGCGGAAGAUGUAACGGGGCUAAACCAUGCAC